UAAAGCAUAGGGUGGAUACCUAGGCACCUAAAGACGAUGAAGGGCGUGGAACCGACGAUACGCUUCGGGGAGCUGGAAACGAGCUUUGAUCCGAAGAUUCCCGAAUGGGGCAACCCUAUAAACUACCCGCUGAAUUCAUAGGCGGGAAAGAGGCAACUCAGUGAACUGAAACAUCUUAGUAGCUGAAGGAAGAGAAAGCAAACGCGAUUCCCGGAGUAGUGGCGAGCGAAAUGGGAACAGCCUAAACCAAUAUUUUAUAUUGGGGUCGUGGGAAAACAUGAUUUU
rnacentral:rRNA from 1 species